AGAGAGCCAGGACCUGGUCGGGGUGGAAGCCUCUUUGAUCCCUAACCAGCAACUCUGAAAAGAAAAAGCUCUUACGUGAUCUGCAGUCAGUUAUUAGGAUUUAUUUCAGCCUGGAGUCCAGGGGUGUCCAGGAGAAGUGACACCAAGGUGGCCUGGGCCCAAGAAAAGCAGGACAUGAACCCUAUCUCAACCUGUAUGUCCUCAAAGAGGGGCCCUUUGCUAGAAGGACAAGUGAGUGCCCAGUGCCCCUUAUCAUCCUGGAGAUGCUAAGCAGAGGCAAAGAUGAUACGGGAAACUCCUGACAUGGUAGGAAUGAUCUAGGCCUGAGAUGCCCACCUGACCUCAGCCUCAGGAGUCCCCCCAGUUCACCUCCAUGUGUAAAUUCAGUGACGUUCCUCUCUUGAGGAUGGGAUUUCUUGGUAGUUCUAUCUGGCCUGCCCUUCCCAUGACUGAGAGCUCCCCCACGGGAGGACAUGGCGGGAUCCUUCUCCUGGACCCCCAGUUCCUACACCAGGACCCCCCUACCUUCAAGGGGGGGUGGGUGCCUUAUCUCACUGCCCCAUCUGACAGUGUCUCUGUUGAAACAUUAAUGAUUUCUUUGGCCUAGACACUCACCGAGUGGCCCCGGAAUACAGAAAUGGCUCCUCGUUCUCCUCCAAAGAAGGUUUCCACAUCACACAGCCACCACAGAAUAUGCUGUUCAGACAGGUCCCAUGUAGCCCAGUGGGGUCAGUGGUGCGGCGGUCAUUACUGUCCAGCCAGGGAAAAGAUGGUAAGGAGGAGAUGAGAAGACACUGUGAGUUCUGCCUGCGGGGUCCAGUGGGCCUAGUGACACUCAAUGGGCCUGUCUGCCUCCUCGAUGGUUCCCAAGUGGGAAGCUCCAACCUGCUGUGUUACAUGGGGAGAGUCGCUUGAACUCUCUGAGCUUCAUCUUUCCUUCCACACCACAGGGAGGUGAAUCCUGCCUUUCGGAGAAUGAAUGGACGUAAAUCCAUCUGGAUCCUUGGAAGGAAAGGAGAGAAGAAGAUGGGAACUCUCCUUGCUUGCUCAUCUCCGUAUCCCACAAAAACAGGACAGCCGAGUUUUCCAGUCAGGUGCCUGGACAAUUCACUGGGCUGCGGCUUCAACUAGUGACGUUCUGGUCCCGCAGAAGCUCUCCACUCUGCUUGGUGGGGACAUGCUCUCUCUUUCGGGGAGAUCUGAAGACACUAUACUCUACUUCCCUCAACCGGAUGCCCUCCCUGGAGAGGUUCCUCCCUGGAUAGGCUUCCAAGUCUGGGACUCUACGAUGCGACCAUCUGGGACCUCAGCUGUGCAACUUCCCCUUGUGGGACCCCGGCUUCCUGGCCCCUCCGUUGGGGCACAGCCACCCACGGGACUGCUGGGAGGAUCCAACUCGAGCCGUCAGGUGCCGGGGAAGGGCAGUCCACACCGUGGUGGGGACCCUGCACGUGAACAUUUGGGCAACCUAAAGCUUUGCCCCCCACCAUCCUCAACACAGACGUAGGUGCCUUUCAACCCAAAGUCAGUGCAAAUGAGGAACUGGAACUCAAGCUUCACGUCCAAGUGCAUGAUCCUGUUCAGAUAGUGAAGUCCCCCAUUCUGGAACAAAAGCUUUCACUACGCGACAGCAGGACCUCAAGGAUGCUGGUGAUGCAAAGAGCCAGCCAAGAGAUGUGACAAUCUAGAGCCACAGGAUCUAGAGCCAGACUGCCUGGCCUGAAUUCUGGGGAAGGUAAUGCCUUGGGCCAGUUACCUAACCUCUUCGUGACUCAACUUCCUCAUCUCUAAAAUGGGACAGCAGAGUUUUUAAAAUGAAAAAAGUUAUUUUUUAUAAAAAU
ensembl:lincRNA